CGCGGCCUAUCAGCUUGUUGGUGAGGUAAUGGCUCACCAAGGCGACGACGGGUAGCCGGCCUGAGAGGGUGACCGGCCACACUGGGACUGAGACACGGCCCAGACUCCUACGGGAGGCAGCAGUGGGGAAUAUUGCACAAUGGGCGAAAGCCUGAUGCAGCGACGCCGCGUGAGGGAUGACGGCCUUCGGGUUGUAAACCUCUUUCAGUAGGGAAGAAGCGAAAGUGACGGUACCUGCAGAAGAAGCACCGGCUAACUACGUGCCAGCAGCCGCGGUAAUACGUAGGGUGCGAGCGUUAUCCGGAAUUAUUGGGCGUAAAGAGCUCGUAUGCGGUUUGUCGCGUCUGUCGUGAAAGUCCGGGGCUUAACCCCGGAUCUGCGGUGGGUACGGGCAGACUACAGUGCAGUAUGGGAGACUGGAAUUCCUGGUGUAGCGGUGGAAUGCGCAGAUAUCAGGAGGAACACCGAUGGCGAAGGCAGGUCUCUGGGCUGUAACUGACGCUGAGGAGCGAAAGCAUGGGGAGCGAACAGGAUUAGAUACCCUGGUAGUCCAUGCCGUAAACGUUGGGCACUAGGUGUGGGGACCAUUCCACGGUUUCCGCGCCGCAGCUAACGCAUUAAGUGCCCCGCCUGGGGAGUACGG
rnacentral:rRNA from 1 species